UGGGGAAUCUUCCGCAAUGGGCGCAAGCCUGACGGAGCAAUGCCGCGUGAACGAAGAAGGUCUUCGGAUUGUAAAGUUCUGUCCUUAUCGAAGAGAGGGUAUAGAGUGAAAAAUGAUAUACUAGGACGGUAGAUGAGGAGGAAGCCCCGGCUAACUACGUGCC
rnacentral:rRNA from 1 species